UACGUAGGCAGCGAGCGUUGUUCGGAGUUACUGGGCGUAAAGAGUGCGUAGGCGGUCCUGUAAGUUUGUUGUGAAAUCUCCCGGCUCAACUGGGAGGGUGCGCCGAAGACUGCAGGGCUUGAGUAUGGGAGAGGUAAGCGGAAUUCCUGGUGUAGCGGUGAAAUGCGUAGAUAUCAGGAGGAACACCUGUGGUGUAGACAGCUUACUGGACCAUCACUGACGCUGAGGCACGAAAGCGUGGGUAGCAAACAGG
rnacentral:rRNA from 1 species